rnacentral:rRNA from 1 species
UACUCCUGACUGACCGAUAGUGAACCAGUACCGUGAGGGAAAGGCGAAAAGAACCCCGGCGAGGGGAGUGAAAAAGAACCUGAAACCGUGUACGUACAAGCAGUGGGAGCACGCUUCGGCGUGUGACUGCGUACCUUUUGUAUAAUGGGUCAGCGACUUAUAUUCUGUAGCAAGGUUAACCGAAUAGGGGAGCCGAAGGGAAACCGAGUCUUAACUGGGCGUUAAGUU